rnacentral:rRNA from 1 species
UGCAAGUCGAGCGGAACGAGUUAUCUGAACCUUCGGGGAACGAUAACGGCGUCGAGCGGCGGACGGGUGAGUAAUGCCUAGGAAAUUGCCUUGAUGUGGGGGAUAACCAUUGGAAACGAUGGCUAAUACCGCAUAACGCCUACGGGCCAAAGAGGGGGACCUUCGGGCCUCUCGCGUCAAGAUAUGCCUAGGUGGGAUUAGCUAGUUGGUGAGGUAAUGGCUCACCAAGGCGACGAUCCCUAGCUGGUCUGAGAGGAUGAUCAGCCACACUGGAACUGAGACACGGUCCAGACUCCUACGGGAGGCAGCAGUGGGGAAUAUUGCACAAUGGGCGCAAGCCUGAUGCAGCCAUGCCGCGUGUAUGAAGAAGGCCUUCGGGUUGUAAAGUACUUUCAGCAGUGAGGAAGGGGGUGUCGUUAAUAGCGGCAUCUCUUGACGUUAGCUGCAGAAGAAGCACCGGCUAACUCCGUGCCAGCAGCCGCGGUAAUACGGAGGGUGCGAGCGUUAAUCGGAAUUACUGGGCGUAAAGCGCAUGCAGGUGGUUUGUUAAGUCAGAUGUGAAAGCCCGGGGCUCAACCUCGGAACUGCAUUUGAAACUGGCAAACUAGAGUACUGUAGAGGGGGGUAGAAUUUCAGGUGUAGCGGUGAAAUGCGUAGAGAUCUGAAGGAAUACCAGUGGCGAAGGCGGCCCCCUGGACAGAUACUGACACUCAGAUGCGAAAGCGUGGGGAG